rnacentral:lncRNA from 10 species
AUAAAUUACAUAGUCACCUUAACUUUAUUUUUUAUUUUAUUUAUUUAUUUUUUGAGACAGAGUCUUACGCUGUUGCCCAGGCUGGAGUGCAGUGGUACGUUCUCAGCUCACUGCAACCUCUGCCUCCCAAGUAGCUGGGACUAUAGGCACGCGCCAACACGCCCAGCUGAUUUUUGUAUUUUUAGAGACGGGGUUUCGCCAUGUUGGCCAGAUGGGUCUGUUUAAAUUCCUGGCCUCAAGCAAUCCACCCUUCUUGGCCUCCCAAAGUGCUGGGAUUACAGGCAUGAGCCACCGUGCCCAGCCCACAUGAACUUUACAUGUAUUAACUCUAAUAAUCCUCAUAACAGCUCUAUGGAGGAAGCUUCUAUCAUUUCCCCCAUUUACAGAUGAGGAAACUGAGGCACGAGGAAGGGAGUAUCUCAUCCAAAGUCCAUUAUCUGGUCAGGUGCUCAUGUCUGUAAUCUCAGCACCUUGGGAGGCUGAGGUGGGCGGAUCACUUGAGGUCAGGAGUUUGACACCAGCCUA